UCUGUGAAGAUUCGUUCAUAUUUCCGGAAUUAGUUAGAAAGGUCAGUUUGUUGCUGGUGUCACUGUGCACGAUUUGCUUAAUCUUACAUUUAUUGGCGAACGCAAACGAUAUGACUAUCACGGAAGCCACAGACUUGGACCUCCCACAACUCCAUGUUUUAAUAGAAACAUGCUACAGGGGCGAAUCGUCAAAACAAGGAUGGACGUCAGAAGCUGAUAUUCUCGGUGGUAUAAGAACAAAUGAGGAGCUUUUAAGAGCUGAAAUGACUGCAUCUGGCGCCAGAUUCCUUAAAUAUACAGAUGAAGAAGGUUGCAUUAGCGGUUGCGUUUAUACGCGAUUGAUUCCAGCAGAAAAAAAAGUCUACAUAGGGAUGCUGUGCGUAAAUCCUCAAAUACAAGCCAAAGGGCUCGGAAAACAAUUGAUAGCAGCUGCUGAAAACCUUGGUCUUGAAAACGGAUGUACAACAGCAAUUAUAGUGGUAAUUUCCAGGCGUACGGAGCUUGUGGCAUGGUAUGAAAGGCGAGGAUAUGCACCGACUGGAGAAAUAAACCCAUUUGCAACUGCUGGAGGUAUCGGAGACGCGAAAGUCGAAAACUUACAGUU